CACACGGAUAGUCCGUUUUCGUUAAACUAUAGGCUGCGGCCAGCUCGCAGCGUGAUCGGCGUGGUCUGUGAGAAGUGCCGAGCCUUUUCGCACUCGCAACAGGGCAGAAAAAAGUGCGAAUCGACGCAAAACUCGGCCUAGAAACGUGCUUCGCCACAUCCAGGGCUCAAUACGACCCAAGCAGGUACGACCCAGAUGUCGUUUCCCGCGGCGCCACCAGGCGCCGCUACUAUACCUCAAACUCCUGCGCAAGACGCCCAUGUUUCUUGAUUUGUUUUUUUUUUUUUCGUUGCUGUAUGUCCGCCGCGUAACUAAUGGUAUCUUCGACUGGUCGCCCCCGUCUCGGCAGAUCCAGCGUUUCCCGAACUCAGAGGUACAGAGGCACGGAGGAAGGCAAAAUAUAGGGAGGAGCAUUACGUCACGCAGCCAGCCUAGGCAAGCGAACGCUUCGUGAAGCCGCAGUGGCGGUCCAAGACGUGACCUCUUGCGUCGAGACCACGGAGCAAGAAUCGAGAUUUGCUGAUAAGUUUGGUUCCCAGUAUAGCUAUGCUAGUAAUUUUUAUUCGGAGCGCGCUUGUUCAGCUGCUUUGCCGUGGCUCUGCCUGCAGAGCGGGAACAGUAGAACGAACCGCGCACUUUAACGUGAGAUCACUUGUUGGGCCACCACUGGCUCAGCACAUUUAGGCUUCAAUCGCGUUGCGGUAUGCUCCCUCCUCUUGUUUCCUUCCUCCAUGUAGAGAGGACAAGCGGGUAAGCCUAACGUGCGACUCGCCCUCGGAGGAGGAAAUAUGGCAGAUGCAUAACCACGGGACUACUGCCAACGUCCGAUGUUUCGCCUAUCCGAAGAACCGGUGGUCGCGCCGGUGGGACGAGCGUUCGUCGAGACACCAGCAUGCAGUGGCCUAUAGGUUGCCUAGGUUAUACGACGGACCGUCGCCAACAACGGCGACGCUGUGCUAUGACGACCUUGCGGGAAACCGUUCAAUCCCAACGACCGCUCCCGACGACAGGGCUCGGAGCGCCUCAGAGCGCUCGAAGAUGGAGGAGAGCAAUCGAAAAGGGCCAGCCGAACGCAUGCCACGCACCCUCUUUCAACCAGCCGAAGACAACGCCGCUCGCGAAAGUGGUCUAGAGCGCUCCGAAACGGCCAGCCGAUGAUGCCAUAAAUUAAGUUUCAGAGCAUAGAGAGGCAUGGAAUUCUUUAGCUUGCGAGGCAACCACAUGGGACGCAUUUCCGGUGGAUGUUAGGGAUGGCGGUCCCCCGGCGCCAGCUCUUCCAUGUCGUGCUGCGCUAUAACCAAGCGUUUAAGGAGGCCCAAAUAGAAAUCACUAGAUCAAGGAGAUCUAACCUCGUGGCAUACAACAUAGCGGCUGGAAUAUUACGUAGACGCCGGACGAUGCGUCAUAGAAAUGUUCCACGCACUUCUGGAUUCGGCCGUUGUUGUGCUGCACGCGAGUCACAUUCCACUUGCGUUGCUUAUUUCGAUGCCUAUUCAGCAGUGUGUCAAGAGGCGUGCGCUGUACAGGGAUGUCACUGUUAAUUCUUUUUGGCAGUUCUAUCUCUUUCUUUAACCUGUUGUCCGAAUAAAAGUCAAUCCAAUCCAAUGUGGUUGCCAAUUAAACCACUCAAUACGAAACUCAACAAGCCUUUUUAAGAAUGCAAUGUACCUUUUUACGUGAACUAGGAAUCUUCGCCACGAUUUCGUCACAACGAGGCUGGCGUAUGCGCGUGCACGCCAGCAGUUACGAGUGGCGUUAAAUCCCAGUUGCAAGAUGUGCUCAUUCCGCUUCACCUUUUUUUUUUUUUUAACCUGAUGAGCGUCUUUUCACCGCCCUAUUCAUGGCCGAUCCCCCAGACUGGGUUGCGCCGUUUCACUAGGGAACACGAACAAGAGCCGGCGUCCACUGAGAGAACGCAUCGCGGAUUACGCGACGUGCUCGCCCAGGAGAAACAAGGCGCGCGCUAUGAAUGGAACAGCGGGGCCAGUGGGUGUCAAGACUCCGAAGUGCAUAGGCUUCGGCCAGAGCGACUGCGGUAUGUGGCCAGUGUCGUUUGCUGCACCGUCGUAACUUAGUGCAGUCACUAUCGGAAGCCUGUCAUCCCGGAGCGAUCGUCAAACAACCCACUAGGGCAAGAAACUAUAUAGAUUACGUGGUGAGCUGCACCGCAAGGCUGCAAUCGGCAGUUUAAAAAAGAGGAGAGAGAGAGAAUAUAUGUACAUAUAUAUAAGAAGAAGAGACAAAUAGACGGAAAACAAAGAAAGAAGCAAAUGAUUCAAUAAAUUUUACAACUGAAAGCUCA